UGUGGUAGCAUAUUCACUAGGUUGUUACUAUGAAUUUUGUAUGAAUGAUUUAUCAAGAGAAAAACCGUCUUUAUAUUAAAGUUUGAAUUUAACUUUUAAGUGAAAGGCUUAAUAUUCUAAAGGGACCACAAAACCCUAAAAACUUUACCUUACUUGUUAAUAUUUUAUUUAAUUUUGUUGCCCCACCAUUCAAAUUUAAUUUUUUGUUAUGUUGGGGAGCAAAAAUCUAUAAUUUAUAUUAACUGCUUGAAGAUAAAUCAAUAACUUAUUGACUACAUUGAUAUAUAUCCCCUCUACACAUUAAAAGAUUAUUUUACCUUAAGGAUAACAACGUUUUUUUUCUUGAGAGUUCAUAUCUAAAAAAUUCAUUUUAACAUC
rnacentral:rRNA from 1 species